GGGAAGCAGAGUGAGCAAGCAAGAGAGGUGGGAGGGGGUUUGUGUGCAUGUACGUGUUAAAGAGUGACUGAGGGAGCAAGGGGGAUAGAGUUAAUGUUGUUGGGCAUACCAGGACAUCACAGGAGGGGAGGGGAGCAGAAACGGCCUCUACACUACAGCAACCUGAUCAGCACUGGCCUUGGGAACAACUUUCUCACACAGGACUGUUUCUCUCUUAAACACCCUAUUCAGGCAGAGGAGGCCAAGCAAGGAAUAAAUAGUGGAGAAAGAGGAGGAGAGAUGGAGUGAAGGGAUUCUCUGUGGAAUGACCGUGUCAUGAUGCAGUCGCUGAGUCUCACCCCGCACCCAGGUGACGAGGGAGGGUGUCUCCGGCCGUCGGCCAAUCACAGAAGGUGCUUUAGGAUAGUCACUUCCUGUUUGUGUUCAUCAAUACUUCCUCUCGGAACCCUCCAGCCUCACUGACGUCCCGCCCCCUUGGCCAAAGUGCCAGGAUUCCGGUCUGGAAGCACGGUUUCGACUGCUCCUACAGUUUUGCUUAGGUACUACAGUUUAACUGACACCAGGUCCAGAAAGACCCAUUUCCAAUUAGAUACUUUAGUCAUCCCCUUUGUGCACAAAGCAAUAUUGAAUUAUUAAAAUAAUUGUCAUGUUCUUGGAUGACGUGAUGACGUUGUCGCUGCUCGCACGGCUCCCUGUGCGCACUGAGUGCUAGUGUGCAUGUGAUGUUAGUCUGUGUAAACCGGAUGCAACCCGGAUAUAGACAGUCCACGAAUCGGCGUAUGCGCACUUGAGUAGAUUACCUCUCAAAUAACGGGCGGACAUAUUGGACACAGUUUCCAGUUCUUUAUUAAACCUCAGUGCUCCAGGUGGUAG
rnacentral:lncRNA from 1 species